rnacentral:rRNA from 1 species
AUUGAACGCUGGCGGCAGGCCUAACACAUGCAAGUCGAACGAGUGGCGGACGGGUGAGUAAUGUCUGGGAAACUGCCCGAUGGAGGGGGAUAACUACUGGAAACGGUAGCUAAUACCGCAUACCAUCGGAUGUGCCCAUAUGGGAUUAGCUAGUAGGUGGGGUAAAGGCUCACCUAGGCGACGAUCCCUAGCUGGUCUGAGAGGAUGACCAGCCGCGCUGUAGCUGAAACGCGGUCCAGACUCCUACGGGAGGCAGCAGUGGGGAAUAGUGCACAAAGGGCGCAAGCCUUAUGCAGCCAUGCCGCGUGUAUGAAGAAAGCCUUCGGGUUGUGAAGUACUUUCAGCGGGGAGGCGUUACCCGCAGAAGAAGCACCGGCUAACUCCGUGCCAGCAGCCGCGGUAAUAC